GGGCGCGUAGCUCAGUUGGUCAGAGCGCCACACUCACAUUGUGGAGGUCAGGGGUUCAAGUCCCUUCGCGCCCA
rnacentral:tRNA from 1 species